rnacentral:rRNA from 1 species
CUGGCGGCGUGCUUAACACAUGCAAGUCGAACGCGAAAGGGACUUCGGUCCUGAGUAAAGUGGCGCACGGGUGAGUAACGCGUAGAUAACCUGUCUUCAUGUCUGGAAUAAUACGCCGAAAGGGGUACUAAUACCGGAUAUUCUUGCUUUUCAUAAGUUAUGCAAGCAAAGGUGGCCUCUGCAUAUGCUACUGCAUGAAGAGGGGUCUGCGUACCAUUAGCUAGUAGGUGGGGUAAUGGCCUACCUAGGCGACGAUGGUUAGCGGGUCUGAGAGGAUGAUCCGCCACACUGGCACUGGAACACGGGCCAGGCUCCUACGGGAGGCAGCAGUGAGGAAUAUUGCGCAAUGGGGGAAACCCUGACGCAGCGACGCCGCGUGAGUGAGGAAGGCCUUCGGGUCGUAAAGCUCUGUCAAGAGGAAAGAAGUGUACAAUGGCUAAUACCUGUUGUAUUUGACGGUACCUCUAAAGGAAGCACCGGCUAACUCCGUGCCAGCAGCUGC